rnacentral:rRNA from 1 species
CACUUAGGACACUUAUUGACUAUUUGACCUCAAAUCAGGUAGGACUACCCGCUGAACUUA